rnacentral:rRNA from 1 species
AUGAACGCUAGCUACAGGCUUAACACAUGCAAGUCGAGGGGCAGCAUGAACUUAGCUUGCUAAGUUUGAUGGCGACCGGCGCACGGGUGAGUAACACGUAUCCAACCUGCCGAUGACUCGGGGAUAGCCUUUCGAAAGAAAGAUUAAUACCCGAUGGCAUAGUUCUUCCGCAUGGUAGAACUAUUAAAGAAUUUCGGUCAUCGAUGGGGAUGCGUUCCAUUAGGUUGUUGGCGGGGUAACGGCCCACCAAGCCUUCGAUGGAUAGGGGUUCUGAGAGGAAGGUCCCCCACAUUGGAACUGAGACACGGUCCAAACUCCUACGGGAGGCAGCAGUGAGGAAUAUUGGUCAAUGGACGAGAGUCUGAACCAGCCAAGUAGCGUGAAGGAUGACUGCCCUAUGGGUUGUAAACUUCUUUUAUACGGGAAUAAAGUGAGGCACGUGUGCCUUUUUGUAUGUACCGUAUGAAUAAGGAUCGGCUAACUCCGUGCCAGCAGCCGCGGUAAUACGGAGGAUCCGAGCGUUAUCCGGAUUUAUUGGGUUUAAAGGGAGCGUAGGCGGACGCUUAAGUCAGUUGUGAAAGUUUGCGGCUCAACCGUAAAAUUGCAGUUGAUACUGGGUGUCUUGAGUACAGUAGAGGCAGGCGGAAUUCGUGGUGUAGCGGUGAAAUGCUUAGAUAUCACGAAGAACUCCGAUUGCGAAGGCAGCCUGCUGGACUGUAACUGACGCUGAUGCUCGAAAGUGUGGGUAUCAAACAGGAUUAGAUACCCUGGUAGUCCACACAGUAAACGAUGAAUACUCGCUGUUUGCGAUAUACAGUAAGCGGCCAAGCGAAAGCGUUAAGUAUUCCACCUGGGGAGUACGCCGGCAACGGUGAAACUCAAAGGAAUUGACGGGGGCCCGCACAAGCAGUGGAGUAUGUGGUUUAAUUCGACGCAACGCGAAGAACCUUACCAGGGCUUGACAUAUACAGGAAUAUAUAAGAGAUUAUAUAGCUCUUCGGAGUCUGUAUACAGGUGGUGCAUGGUUGUCGUCAGCUCGUGCCGUGAGGUGUCGGCUUAAGUGCCAUAACGAGCGCAACCCUUAUCGAUAGUUACCAUCAGGUGAUGCUGGGGACUCUGUCGAGACUGCCGUCGUAAGAUGUGAGGAAGGUGGGGAUGACGUCAAAUCAGCACGGCCCUUACGUCCGGGGCUACACACGUGUUACAAUGGGGGGUACAGAAGGCAGCUACACGGUGACGUGAUGCUAAUCCCUAAAGCCUCUCUCAGUUCGGAUUGGAGUCUGCAACCCGACUCCAUGAAGCUGGAUUCGCUAGUAAUCGCGCAUCAGCCACGGCGCGGUGAAUACGUUCCCGGGCCUUGUACACACCGCCCGUCAAGCCAUGAAAGCCGGGGGUACCUGAAGUGCGUAACCGCAAGGAGCGCCCUAGGGUAAAACUGGUGAUUGGGGCU